AUGACGGCGGUUCUUCUGCUAGUGAAUGGGGUUGGCCUUCUUAGCUUCUGGCUGUCUGUGGCCAGUCCUUUCAACGUCAGCGUCUCAGCAAAUCGUGAGAGGUACAAAACAAAUGAGAACAUUAAGGUGACAUGUAAUGCUACAGGCAAACCCUUUCCGGAGUUUUCGUGGCAUCUCCCUUCCACAGAGGGUGUGGAAUUCUCAGACAACAACCGGACCAUUGAGAUAUCUUCAGCUCAGAGUUCCCAUAAUGGGACAUACCUAUGUCUGGCCAAUAAUAUUUAUGGCAAGAAAUCGGCACGAGUGGACAUCGUCUUUGAAGAGUCGACUCGCAGCUGGAUCGCCGCAGUGGUGGUGGUGACGUUGCUGGCAGUCCUGAUCACGGCUGGAGUCGUCUUGUACCGCUGUCAGAAAUGA
rnacentral:lncRNA from 1 species